rnacentral:rRNA from 1 species
UGGGGAAUUUUGGACAAUGGGCGAAAGCCUGAUCCAGCAAUGCCGCGUGUGUGAAGAAGGCCUCCGGGUUGUAAAGCACUUUUGUCCGGAAAGAAAUCCUUGGCUCUAAUACAGUCGGGGGAUGACGGUACCGGAAGAAUAAGCACCGGCUAACUACGUGCCAGCAGCCGCGGUAAUACGUAGGGUGCAAGCGUUAAUCGGAAUUACUGGGCGUAAAGCGUGCGCAGGCGGUUUGCUAAGACCGAUGUGAAAUCCCCGGGCUCAACCUGGGAACUGCAUUGGUGACUGGCAGGCUAGAGUAUGGCAGAGGGGGGUAGAAUUCCACGUGUAGCAGUGAAAUGCGUAGAGAUGUGGAGGAAUACCGAUGGCGAAGGCAGCCCCCUGGGCCAAUACUGACGCUCAUGCACGAAAAGCGUGGGGAGCAAAACAGGAUUAGAUACCCUGGUAGUCCACGCCCUAAAACGAUGUCAACUAGUUGUUGGGGAUUCAUUUCCUUAGUAACGUAGCUAACGCGUGAAGUUGACCGCCUGGGGGAGUACGGUCGCAAAGAUUAAAACUCAAAGGAAUUGACGGGGUCAUAGCU